CUGCCACACAUGCUUGGUGACCGUGUGUGCCAACACCACAUGCAUGCUGCUGGGAACAAGGACGCAGCUGCACGCAGUCUUUUGCAUGCCAGCGCCAGUCCCAGAUGAAUGGUGGCGCGGCGGUGGAACAGAAAAUCAACUAGGAAAGUUGCUGAUAUAACAAGUGAAACCCGAAGAAAAUCAGUUUCCUAGAAGACUCCGUGCUGCAGUGGAAGGAUUUAUUUGUGCCUGUCACAGGAAGACUAAAGGCUCAGUUGAUCUCCUGCAGAUUUUCUUCAUUAUCUUUGAUGUGGCCGAAAUGGUAUUUAUUUUGGAUCAGUAAUGCUUCUCAGCAACUCUCUUGGAAAGGGCGUGAUCCAUAUGACAUCUCAGGCCAAAGGAAACAUCAGCCCAAUCCCAUGCAAAUUUACCUAGAAGCAGGCUAUGCUGAAUUCAAUGGCAAUUAUUUCCAAGCAAGUGUGACUAAGAUUGUAGCCUUUCUAACAGAAUCUCGCCGGUUCUUGGGCAGUGCUUAUCAUUAGCAAGCAAAGAUCAAUGUGGAGGCUGGAUGACAUGGAUGGAUGACACUGAGGCUUUGUUGAAACAUUAACAGACCCUGAGAAAGUAAAAAUUAUAGGUGCAUCGCCAUACUAAUCAGCCAAUACAGUUAACAACCCAGACCUAAGCAUGUGUAAUCAGAGAUUUAAGAAGGGCUAUCUUGUCAUUAAACAUUUUAUUUAUUUAUUUAUUUA